GUCCCCUCAAAAGCCCAUGGGGCCACUCUUCUGAAGCUCCACUUCACCUGCUUCCGCACACCCCAGUCCUGCCUGAUACUCAGCUUUUCUUUCUCUCGUGAAUAGAGACACACGUUUUUCUCCCUUGACACCAUGGAGGUUGGGAUUCUGAUAAGGAUUAGAAUGCUACAGAUCAAUCCUCUAGUACAGUCCUUCUCAAAGUGUGGACAUUUAAGGCUGGGUGGAUGAUCCUCUGGGGUGGGGUGUCCUGUGCACUGCAGGGUGUUGAGCAGUGUCCCUGGGUUCCACCCACCAGAUGCCCGGAGCACCAACCACCCCGGUUGCGACACCCAAAGCUAUCUCCAGACAUUGUCGAGUGUCCCUGGGGACAUAGUUGCCUGUGUGGAGCACCGCAGGGUCAGAUGAACACAGCAAGGACCACUGACAAUGUGAGCAUCUGUGUCACCCUCUGCUGUCACUCGCCGGAACCAGAAGGGACGAUUUGCAGCCGGUACAGCUUUUUCCCAUGCCGAGCUUCCUGCAGAGGCUGCUUCCCAACGCAUUGGAAAGUCCCUGGCUCUCGGAACGGAGACGAGAGAGAGAGAGAGAGAGAGAGAGAGAAAGCAAUCCCGACGUUAUGAGAAUCGGCUGCACGACCAUCCCAUGCCUUUCAGGAAAACCAACACAAACGCCCCAGUGGAGACAUUUUUAACCAUUGUAAAAUUUUCUAGAAAUCUCAGGCAUGACUGGUUCUUUUGUGGCUGGCGAAUCAUAUUAUACGUGGUGCUGGUGCAUCUUGCAAAACGCUUAAAAGAUAAGUGUACCACAUAGAUUUGAACAUUGCGAAUUGGAACAUUUAAAAAAAAUCCAUGGUUGCUUAAUUCUUGGAAACAGAAACAAUUUAGUUUAUACUCAUUUGAACUGUAAACCUAGCUAGUCGUUUGUAUACAGAAUGUUUGCGGGUAUUGCUGACUAUGGCUUUGUGG
rnacentral:lncRNA from 1 species